GUGGACCGCAAUGUCAAAAUUGCUGUUCGGCCAUUGCUCGUGAAAAAACAAAUUUGUUUACAAAGCAAAUCAUAUCUUUUGGUGACAAAUGCAUUCGUUGGCAAAAUAGCUGCUCGCGCUUCACUGUAGGCAGAUAUCUACAAUCAGCGGUCGAAUUAAAAACAGUGCAGAAGGAUGUUUUGAGUAUAUUUUACCUUCUAGCCGCGCAAUCAAUGCUUUUCUUUCCAAGCAAGCAGCGUUUUUCGGCAAAAGCAUGAAAUAGAAUCGUACGUGGUACGAAUUUAUCGGCACAAUCUGAUCAAGGACGGAGGCAUCACCAAACGGAAACUAC